rnacentral:lncRNA from 1 species
GAACAUUUAAUAGAUACAACAGUGACACGAUGCUUCCAAACACAUUCGUAGGACAGACUGAUUCGCUAGCUUUUCUCCACUUCGUUCUUGGUCUUGUAAGAUCUUUCUUGUAGCUCUUAGUUCUUGUGAGCAAACGCCGUUUUUCUUUAAGAAGAUCAUUGGAUGUGAUCCAUCUGUUACAUCGCGAUCCAUCCAUGGCAUUAAAAUUAUUUUGCUUUGAAACCAAUAAAACCAUAUUUUCCAAUUGUUUUGUUGUAGAAACAUCUGCGGAUUUACCCUUCUUGUCCACAAUCCAUACUUCUCUUUCACCAUACCAAUCAAACUCAAAAUGGUUUGAAAAAGUGCAGGUUGAGUAAAUAAAUGGAAUAGUGUUUGACUUCUUGCUUUCCCGGAUAUAAACCUCCAAUAUAAUCCAAUAAAUACAUACGGUACCUUCAAAACCGAGAAUGGCGAGUGCAUCAAUCCCUUAAUAUCUCCUGGCCAUGGCGCCUUUUGAUGUAGAAACUGUGUGUGCUCAAAUCGAGAUCCUCGAGAGAAUAUACAAACAUGCAUCAUGUGCAAAAGAAAGCCAUCGAUACUGUAAUGCCUGACAAGGGAUUCCAACACCGGAGAAUAACACUCCACUUGGGAGAAGAGACGCAUGUCCAUCAUUCGCCACAAACCCAUUGAUCUUCUCGUGCAAAUACUCAGGAUUGUCCAGAUGAUAACUGAUAUAUCCAUGACCAUAAUCCUAGUUGAUAAACGCCAGUGAAGAAGCCAGGAUGACCGCAAAUGGUGAGACAGCAACAAAACACGAAACUUGAUGUCCAAUUCAACAUGAAUUGGUUUGAUUACUAAACUAAUACUAACUAAAGAAAAUAAACAAGAGAAACCGACGGCCGAAGCCGCCGGACACGGAAACCUCGGUGAAAAAGAGGUGUUUAACUGUGGAUUUGAGAUUCGCC